UACGGAGGGUGCGAGCGUUAAUCGGAAUUACUGGGCGUAAAGGGCACGCAGGCGGACAAUUAAGUCAGGUGUGAAAUCCCCGGGCUUAACCUGGGAAUUGCAUUUGAUACUGGUAGGCUAGAGUAUUGUAGAGAGGGGUAGAAUUCCACGUGUAGCGGUGAAAUGCGUAGAGAUGUGGAGGAAUACCGAUGGCGAAGGCGGCCCCUUGGGCAAAUACUGACGCUCAGGUGCGAAAGCGUGGGGAGCAAACAGG
rnacentral:rRNA from 1 species